GAUGAACGCUAGCGGCAGGCCUAAUACAUGCAAGUCGAGGGGUAUAAGGAGCUUGCUUCUUUGAGACCGGCGCACGGGUGCGUAAUGCGUAUGCAACCUACCUUAAUCAGGGGGAUAGCCCGGAGAAAUUCGGAUUAACACCGCAUAAAAUCACAGUAUUGCAUAAUACAAUGAUCAAAUAUUUAUAGGAUUAAGAUGGGCAUGCGUGUCAUUAGCUAGUUGGUAAGGUAACGGCUUACCAAGGCGACGAUGAACAGGGGAUCUGAGAGGAUUACCCCCCACACUGGUACUGAGACACGGACCAGACUCCUACGGGAGGCAGCAGUAAGGAAUAUUGGUCAAUGGACGCAAGUCUGAACCAGCCAUGCCGCGUGCAGGAUGACUGCCCUAUGGGUUGUAAGCUGCUUUUAUAUAGGAAUAAAUGUACUUACGUGUAAGUAUUUGAAUGUACUAUAGGAAUAAGGAUCGGCUAACUCCGUGCCAGCAGCCGCUGUAA
rnacentral:rRNA from 1 species